rnacentral:rRNA from 1 species
GACGAACGCUGGCGGCGCGCUUAAUACAUGCAAGUCGAGCGAGAACCAGUCCUUCGGGACUGGGGAAAGCGGCGAACGGGUGAGUAACACGUGGGUAAUCUGCCCUCGGCACUGGGAUAGCCCGGGGAAACCCGGAUUAAUACCGGAUAGCCUUUCGAGCCUUCGGGCUCGUCAGAAAAGGUGGCUUCGGCUUCCGGCUGAGGAUGAGCCCGCGGCGGAUUAGCUUGUUGGUGAGGUAAUGGCUCACCAAGGCUCCGAUCUGUAGCUGGUCUGAGAGGACGAUCAGCCACACUGGGACUGAGACACGGCCCAGACUCCUACGGGAGGCAGCAGUAGGGAAUAUUGCACAAUGGGCGCAAGCCUGAUGCAGCGACGCCGCGUGGGGGAUGAAGGCCUUCGGGUUGUAAACUCCUUUCGCCAUUGACGAAGCCCUUUGGGGUGACGGUAGGUGGAGAAGAAGCACCGGCUAACUACGUGCCAGCAGCCGCCGUAAUAC